ACUUUUAAUGGACAACAGAAGUCCAA
rnacentral:tRNA from 1 species